rnacentral:pre_miRNA from 1 species
AUGACCUAUGAAUUGACAGCCAGUGUGCCUUCAGAGUUUGUCUGUCAUUUCUGUGGGUCAAUA